rnacentral:rRNA from 1 species
GCAUAUCAAUAAGCGGAGGAAAAGAAAAUAACAAUGAUUUCCCUAGUAACGGCGAGUGAAGAGGAAAGAGCUCAAAGUUGGAAACUGUUUGGCUUAGCUAAACCGUAUUGUAAACUGUAGAAACAUUUUCCUGGCACGCCGGAUUAAUAAGUCCUUUGGAACAAGGCAUCAUGGAGGGUGAGAAUCCCGUCUUUGAUCCGAGUAGUUGUCUUUUGUGAUAUGUUUUCAAAGAGUCAGGUUGUUUGGGAAUGCAGCCUAAAUUGGGUGGUAAAUCUCACCUAAAGCUAAAUAUUUGCGAGAGACCGAUAGCGAACAAGUACCGUGAGGGAAAGAUGAAAAGAACUUUGAAAAGAGAGUUAAACAGUAUGUGAAAUUGUUAAAAGGGAACCGUUUGGAGCCAGACUGGUUUGACUGUAAUCAACCUAGAAUUCGUUCUGGGUGCACUUGCAGUCUAUACCUGCCAACAACAGUUUGAUUUGGAGGAAAAAAUUAGUAGGAAUGUAGCCUCUCGAGGUGUUAUAGCCUACUAUCAUACUCUGGAUUGGACUGAGGAACGCAGCGAAUGCCUUUAGGCGAGAUUGCUGGGUGCUUUCGCUAAUAAAUGUUAGAAUUUCUGCUUCGGGUGGUGCUAAUGUUUAAAGGAGGAACACAUCUAGUAUAUUUUUUAUUCGCUUAGGUUGUUGGCUUAAUGACUCUAAAUGACCCGUCUUGAAACACGGACC